rnacentral:rRNA from 1 species
CUACGGAGGGUGCAAGCGUUAAUCGGAAUUACUGGGCGUAAAGCGCGCGUAGGCGGAUAUUUAAGUCUCAUGUGAAAGCCCUGGGCUCAACCUGGGAACUGCAUGGGAUACUGGGUAUCUAGAAUACAGUAGAGGGUAGUGGAAUUUCAGGUGUAGCGGUGAAAUGCGUAGAGAUCUGAAGGAACAUCAGUGGCGAAGGCGACUACCUGGACUGAUAUUGACGCUGAGGUGCGAAAGCGUGGGGAGCAAACGGGAUUAGAUACCCCAGUAGUAC